GCCCUACCCACCCUGCCCCAGACAGAGGCCUCCUCGCUGGGGAGAGACGUGGCCAGUCCUGGGUGUCUGGAGGUCUGGGCUCUGGAGGGGAUGACUCUACUCAGCGACAUGGCCUCACUAGAGAUGGAUCGGAUACAGCUGGAGCAGGGUGAGGUGUUGUGUGGUCUUGACCGCCUGUUAGAGGCAGGUAGAAAGGUGUUGCUGGAGGCCAUUGAGAGCCAGUCUCACAUCAACCUCCCCAGACAACUACACCCCAGCAAGACCUACAGCUGGAGGAUGAGGACAGACCCACAAGAGCAGCUCUUCAGUAAGCUGUGUGUGU